rnacentral:rRNA from 1 species
CCUACGGGAGGCAGCAGUGGGGAAUAUUGCACAAUGGGCGCAAGCCUGAUGCAGCCAUGCCGCGUGUAUGAAGAAGGCCUUCGGGUUGUAAAGUACUUUCAGCGGGGAGGAAGGUGUUGAGGUUAAUAACCUCAGCAAUUGACGUUACCCGCAGAAAAAGCACCGGCUAACUCCGUGCCAGCAGCCGCGGUAAUA